GCGUCCGUAGCUCAGCGGUUAGAGCAGCCGGCUCAUAACCGGCUGGUCGCAGGUUCGAAUCCUGCCGGGCGCACCA
rnacentral:tRNA from 1 species